UGACUAAGGAACGAGUCAAAAGCCCAACAGACCCGAACUAUGAACUAAUCAAUACUCUUUCAGGCUCAUACUGCAUAGGUUUAUCGUAUGGGGCUGUCACGUGAUUAAGGAACGAGUCAAAAAUCCCGAUAGACCCGAACAAUGAACUAAUCAAUACUCUUUCAGGCUCAUACUGCAUUGGUUAAGCGUAUGGGUCUGUCACGUGACUAAGGAACGAGUCAAAAGCCCGAUAGACCCGAACUAUGAACUAAUCAAUACUCUUUCCGGCUCAGACUGCAUUGGUUAUGCUUAUGGGUCUGUCACAUGUUUAAGGAACGAUUCAAAAACCUGAUAGACCCGAACUAUGAGCUAAUCCAUUCUAUUUCCGGCUCAGACUGCAUAGGUUUAGCGUAUGGGGCUGUCACGUGAUUAAGCAACGACUCAAAAACCCGAUAGACCCGAGCUAUGGACUAAUCAAUACUCUUUCCGGCUCAUACUGCAUUGGUUAAGCGUAUGGGUCUUUCACGUGAUUAAGGAACGAGUCAAAAGCCUGAUAGACCCUAACUAUGAACUAAUCAAUUCUCUCUUCAGCUCAGACUGCAUUGGUUAUGCAUAUGGCUCUGUCACGUGACUAAGGAACGAGUCAAAAACCUGAUAGUCCCGAACUAUGAACUAAUCAAUACUCUUUCAGGCUCAUUCUGCAUUGGUUAAGCGUAUGGGUCUGUCACGUGACAAAGGAAUGAGUCAAAAGCCCGAUAGACCCGAACUAUGAACUAAUCAAUACUCUUUCAGGCUCAUACUGCAUUGGUUAAGCAUAUGGGUCUGUCACGUGAUUAAGGAAAGAGUCAAAAGCCCAAUAGACCAGAACUAUGAACUAAUCAAUGCUCUUUCCAGCUCAGACUGAAUAACUAAUCAAUACUCUUUCAGGCUCAUACUGCAUUGGUUAAGCAUAUGGGUCUGUCACUUGAUUAAGGAAAGAGUCAAAAGCCCGAUAGACCCGAACUAUGAACUAAUCAAUGCUCUUUCCAGCUCAGACUGCAUAGGUUUAGCGUAUGGGGCUGUCACGUGAAUAAGGAACGAGUCAAAACCCAACAGACCCGAACUAUGAACUAAUCAAUACUCUUUCAGGCUCAUACUGCAUUGGUUUAUCGUAUGGGGCUGUCACGUGAUUAAGGAACGAGUCAAAAAACCCGAUAGACCCGAACAAUGAACUAAUCAAUACUCUUUCCGGCUCAGACUGCAUUGGUUAAGCGUAUGGGUCUGUCACGUAACUAAGGAACGUGUCAAAAACCCGACAGACCUGAACUAUGAACUAAUCAAUUCUCUCUUCAGCU